UCUAGACGGGCCUUCAAAGAG
rnacentral:miRNA from 1 species